AGCCGAUUCUGCCACCGAAUACAUUAGCAUGGGAUAAUGGAAUAGGACCCUGACCUCCUAUUUCGUUGGUUUUCGAGGAUCAGGGUAAUGAUUAAUAGGGAUAGUUGGGGGCAUUAAUAUUUAAUUGUCAGAGGUGAAAUUCUUGGAUUUAUGAAAGAUUAACUUCUGCGAAAGCGUUUGCCAAGGAUGUUUUCAUUAAUCAAGAACGAAUUAGGGGAUCAAGACGAUCAAUACCGUCGUAGUCUUAACCAUAACGAUGCCGACCAGCGAUUAGGAGACGUUGAUACAAACUU
rnacentral:rRNA from 1 species